rnacentral:rRNA from 1 species
UACGGAGGGUGCAAGCGUUAAUCGGAAUUACUGGGCGUAAAGCGCACGCAGGUGGCUGAGUCAGUCGAUUGUGAAAGCCCUGGGCUUAACCUGGGAAUUGCAGUCGAUACUACUCAGCUAGAGUAUGGGAGAGGGCAGUGGAAUUCCCGGUGUAGCGGUGGAAUGCGCAGAUAUCAGGAGGAACACCGGUGGCGAAGGCGGGUCUCUGGGCAGUAACUGACGCUGAGGAGCGAAAGCGUGGGGAGCGAACAGG